rnacentral:rRNA from 1 species
AGAGUUUGAUCCUGGCUCAGAAUGAACGCUGGCGGCGUGGCUAAAGCAUGCAAGUCGUACGCGAAAUCCCGGCUUGCCGGGAGAGUAGAGUGGCGAAAGGGCGAGGAAUACAUGGAUAACGUACCCUGGGCACGGGGAUAGCUGCAGGAAACUGCAGGUAAUACCCGAUGAGACCACGGCGGCGCAGGCCGCUGCGGUCAAAGGGUGGGGACCCCGCUUGCGGGGCCUGCCGGCCUGGGAGCGGCCCAUGUCCUAUCAGCUUGUUGGUGAGGUAACGGCCCACCAAGGCGACGACGGGUACCGGGACUGAGAGGUUGACCCGGCGCAUUGGGACUGAGACACUGCCCAGACUCCUACGGGAGGCUGCAGCGACGAAUAUUCCGCAAUGGGCGCAAGCCUGACGGAGCGACGCCGCGUGUGGGAUGAAGCCCUUCGGGGUGUAAACCACUGUCAGAGGCCACCAAGCGAUGGGGAUAAAUAGUCCCCAAAGUUGAGGAACCUCAAAGGAAGCCACGGCUAACUUCGUGCCAGCAGCCGCGGUAAUACGAAGGUGGCAAGCGUUGUUCAGAAUCACUGGGCUUAAAGGGCACGCAGGCGGCCGACCAAGUGUCUUGUGAAAUCCCCCGGCUUAACCGGGGAAUGGCAGGGCAAACUGGCCGGCUUGAGGCAGGUAGGGGCGAGUGGAACUCUUGGUGGAGCGGUGGAAUGCGUAGAUAUCAAGAGGAACGCCGGAGGCGAAAGCGACUCGCUGGGCCUGUCCUGACGCUGAGGUGCGAAAGCCAGGUAGCGAACGGGAUUAGAUACCCCGGUAGUCCUGGCCGUAAACGAUGUCCACUAGGUUGGAGGCUCUCUGACGGGUUUCCGGCCGCAACGAAAGCACUAAGUGGACCGCCUGGGGAGUACGGUCGCAAGGCUA